rnacentral:sRNA from 19 species
AUCAACUACUCAGUACUAAAUAAUUGAGCCUAUCUCAGUAACAAUGGUGCGUUCGUUUGAACAAGUUGACUACCCUAAGUCUUGAAACAGAGGCUACGUUAUACAAGAAUAUAUAGUCACCGGUGGGCAUUUGCCCUAACCUGCCGCUCUGAG